rnacentral:rRNA from 1 species
UCUGGUUGAUCCUGCCAGUAGUGAUAUGCUUGUUUCAAAGAUUAAGCCAUGCAUGUCUAAGUAUAAGCGAACUUAUACAGUGAAACUGCGGAUGGCUCAUUAAAACAGUUUGAAUUUAUUUGAUGAAUGUAUGAGAAUACUACUUGGAUAACCGUAGUAAUUCUAGAGCUAAUACAUGCAACGACGCCCGACCGUUUCACUACGGAAGGGCUGUAUUUAUUGGAUACCAAAACCAUCCUUCCCUCGGGAAGUUUUGUUUGAUGAUUCACAAUAACUGAUCGGAUCGCCACUGUGGUGGCGACAGGUCAUUCAACAUUCUGCCCUAUCAGCUUUCGAUGGUUGUGUAGUGGACAACCAUGGCCAUAACGGGUAACGGAGAAUCAGGGUUCGAUUCCGGAGAAGGAGCUUGAGAAUUGGCUACUACAUCUAAGGAAGGCAGCAGGCGCGCAAAUUACCCAAUCCCGAUUCGGGGAGGUAGUGACAAAAAAUAACAAUACCGGGCCUUUUUGGGCUUGGUAAUUGGAAUGAGGGAGAGUUAAACGGACCAUCGAGUAUCCAUUGGAGGGCAAGUCUGGUGCCAGCAGCUGCGGUAAUACCAGCUCCAAUAGCGUAUAUUAAAGUUGUUGCAGUUAAAAAGCUCGUAGUUGGACUUGUGUGCGCUGUCCGCGGGUGGCCUGCGCCCAAAAGGGCGUUUCGGUUCGGCCCCGGUGGCGCCUUGAAAUCUGCAGCUGGGGAGACGUUGGCCUUAACUGGUCGGCGACCGCACGCCGGCUGCUCGGUUACUGUGAGAAAAUUAGAGUGUUCAAGGCAGGCAUUGGGUGCAAUUGAAUACAUUAGCAUGGAAUAAUAAAAUAUGGCUCCUGCCGUAUUUUGUUGGUUUUGACUGGUGGGAGUAAUGAUUGAUAGGGACGGUUGGGGGUGCUAGUAUUGAGCGGCCAGAGGUGAAAUUCAUGGAUUCGCUCAAGACUAACUUAUGCGAAAGCAUUCACCAAGGACGUCCUCUUUAAUCAAGAACGAAAGUUGGGGGAUCGAAGACGAUCAGAUACCGUCGUAGUCUCAACCAUAAACUAUGUCGACUUGGGAUCGGCGGUAGUUUUUUCAUUAAGACACUGUCGGGACCACGGGAGAAAUCAAAGUGUCUGGACUCUGGGGGAAGUAUGGUCGCAAGGCUGAAACUUGAAGGAAUUGACGGAAGGGCACCACCAGGAGUGGAGCCUGCGG